CUCCAAAGGGUGUAAACUUUUCUUGGAGUGUAGCGCGAGCGAAUUUCCCACAACAGGCGGUGGCUACGUACAGCGCAAGAAAAAGGAACCGACGCCAGCGUCACGCGCGCGAGAAAAUUGCACGCCUCUCGGCGGAACUAUUUCGCGACGCGCCACGUGCAAUGCAGCGACAAUGUUCAGGCGCCGGUCGCGUGUUUACCGACACGAGCAGCAAGGCGCCGACGGGUCAAGGCCACGGAGAGCUAAAGUUUGCCACUGGACGGAUUCAAAGAUGAGGGGGCUGAGUCGCCCCUUCCCCUCCGGUUCACCCUCCCGGAGCCUGACCCGUAACUCCUGCUGAAUCAACGGAACGUCGAGCGCGGGGCCCCCCAUCUCUGCACGCUGAGAUUCGCGCUUUCGAGCUGUACCUGCGGCGGACCAUUUUCAACCCAGUGGCAAAUGGAAGAACGGACUCGACCGAAAAAAGCAGUCUGGAAAAAAGGUUGAAGCAGAUAGAGUAAUAGACUGCCUCUGGACGGCGCCACUAACAUUGCGACCAUCGCCAACUACAUCACUCGACAUGGCUCUUAUAUAAUACUUAUAUAAUAUUAUUAUGCCAAGUACGAAAAGGACGCCUUUGUUUGACAAAGAUCUGGCAGACUACGGAAUGCCUGAGGAAUUUGGAACCUCCAUUUAGCGCUGUGUUCGCGGAGAAGUGUGAUCUGCUGUGACAUGCUAUCAACGAUAAGUAUGCUUUAAAGGGUCAUCCAGACAGUAUUUCAAAAAGGCAGAAAGAAAAGAAACAUCGUACCAUGUUCCAACGAAUGCCCGAAAAUAAUAAGUUACCGCUCCAAUAUACAACCAUGUGCACCUGUUACCUUCGACCAGCUUCAUACAACCAUGCACUGCCUUUAUAGAAUUUUACUCUCUUCUUACGCGUGUAUACACUUGUUAUGACAACAUGUUUAAUGGCUUUGUUGAGAAGGAAAAAGCUCUGCAAAGUCGUUCUCAAUGUUUUAGACAUUUGCAGUGGGCCCUGAGACAUGUUUGGCGAAGAAAAUUUGGUUAAGAGCAACCAUAGUGCUUAAGUAUACAGUGAGAGCUUGUUUACGAUUAUUAUCAUGAGUUAUGUGCUGGCGAUUUUCUGGAUAACAUUUGUAGGAAAAUUAGAUUCUUUCUUUAAUGAACGCGGCCUUAUAUGACCAAAGGCAGCAAAAGUGUAGUAGCAAAAAAAAGCCUGUUAGUGUAACGCAUUAAAUUCUCUUUGUUUCGUGUUCUAAUAAUGUAUGCAGGCACAACGAAAGGCCGUACGCAGGAAGUCCUGAUUUGUUUAAGAUUAUGAGCCGCAAAGAUAUAAGCAUCGCGCGCUUUGGAGAAAAAAGAAAUGUGCAGAGGGCCACACACACAAUCGAAUGCCGCACAAGGCAGCUAAAAACAACUCUAUAGCUUGCUCAGGGCUAGAUAAAUACAACACAGCGGACUUAUCGGUGUACAUAGCUGCGAAUUUCCUGAGCAAGUAAAGCCAGUCAAAAAGGCAGCAGAAGCCCGUUUUCCAAGAGAGCAACGAACCCUGUUUGCAGGUUGCUGCAUUUUACGUGCUCUCACUGUGUUGUAAAGCCGGAUAUAAAGGAUACGCCCGCGAUACAUAUACAAGUUGCCAAGGCAAAUAGAAAAAGCAGUGGCAUGUGCACCCAGCGCUUUCCUUUCUUCUUUGAUGCAGCAAUUCUCUUAACUCUCCGUUCACGGAGUUGGUCCCACCAUAUCGGCGUCCACAGUGCGGCUGGAGUGCUCACUGGCACAAUAGUAAAUUAUUCACGCUGAGAGCUCGCAAGGGUUGCGACGCUCUCUUCGUAAGAACUUGCUGAAUCUAAAAGCAGAAGUCAAUUUAGAAGAGUAAUUCUUCAAGUACUGCACGGUACUGCGAAAGCAGCGAUGGCCAAAAGGCGCAACGGCUGCUAGAGAGCGAAAUUGAAGAGCGCUGACUCCGUCCGGUGUGGAAACAUGGUCGGAAUAACACGAAAAUGGCGCAUCUUAACGAUGACAGACGCGCGCCUAUAUCAACGCUACCAGCGCUUGCUUUAUCGCGAUGCGUCCAGCCAGGGCACGUCCAUUGCCAUGGGCGCUGUAAGGACCGGACGUGCUUCCGCAUUCCAUCACGCCGCGGCCCGGUCAGGUCGACAGCUGCACACAAGUGCCUGAAGAUGGGCGCGAAAUUGCAAAUCUUUUCCUGUUAGGCUAUGCAUCUCAGCGUUGAAGUGGGCUCGCAAAGUUUUAGCGCUGAUUGCUAAUAACGUGCGUUAAACGUGUCGUAACGAAAG